CUUGAGCUCGUUGGACUCCGUUCGUCAUCCUGGACCUUCUGUGGGCUCAGUGUGGAUCGAAUCUUGAGAUAUAUUUUCUAACACUAAAUUAGAUUAAUUUUCCAAGUUAGACUUGGAUAAUUAGGAUUAGUAAUCUUUUCGAAUUUGGUUUGAAUCGGAUUCGAAUUAGAUUUGAAUUGAAUCUAAAUCUGAAUCAAAUUAGAUUUGAUGCACUUAGCAAUAUUUUCUAUGCAUUCUCUCACCCAUAGGGCUGACCAAGAUGGAGGAGAGGGCACUAAAAAUAGCCCCCUCCCCUUGGGCAUGCGGCAUGGUGAAGGAAGGCGCAAGUUGGCACCUCUCCUACUUCCAUUAGAAAAUCUUAUGGUUUGGAGAGUUUGGAUUUGAUUCAAACUUAAAGGGUCCUAUUCCUACCCCAUGUAGGUAUUUAAUUUGAUCUAAGACCUCUUGUCUAUUUAAGGAGGGGCAU
rnacentral:lncRNA from 1 species